AAGACAUAUAGUGCCAUGUGGAACUAUGAGUCUAUUAAACCUCUUUCCUUGAUAAAUUACCCAGUCUCAGGGAUGUCUUUUUAGCAGCAUGAGACGGACUAAUACACUAUUUAAAGAAUAAGCUGUCCUCAGUGGGGUCUAACCAACUCAGGGGACUUAGCAAGAGACUGCACUUAAGGGGUGAUCUGUGUACAACUACAACAAACUGACUCAACCAGUUCUUCUUUCCUGGGGAGUAUAAAUAAGUGGUAUCCAAAAAGAGGAGCAGAGGCAACUUCUGGGAGCCUCAUUGUUGGCAUGAGGGUACCAGAGCUGUUGGGUUCCAGGAGGACCUGCUGAAUCCCAAAGGAAGGUGUUGCUCUGUGCCUCCACGAAGUUACUAUACCUUUAAGCUUAGGGAUAUGAAGCAGCUUCCUGAGAUACUUCACUUCCCUAGUUAUCCUUAUCACAAAUUCCCAUCAUCUAAUAUAAUUUG